AAUUUCUGACGGAGCACGCCGCGUGAGUGAUGAAGGUUUUCGGAUCGUAAAACUCUGUUGUUAGGGAAGAACAAGUACCGUUCGAAUAGGGCGGUACCUUGACGGUACCUAACCAGAAAGCCACGGCUAACUACGUGCCAGCAGCCGCGGUAAUACGUAGGUGGCAAGCGUUGUCCGGAAUUAUUGGGCGUAAAGCGCGCGCAGGCGGUUUCUUAAGUCUGAUGUGAAAGCCCCCGGCUCANCCGGGGAGGGUCAUUGGAAACUGGGGAACUUGAGUGCAGAAGAGGAGAGUGGAAUUCCACGUGUAGCGGUGAAAUGCGUAGAGAUGUGGAGGAACACCAGUGGCGAAGGCGACUCUCUGGUCUGUAACUGACGCUGAGGCGCGAAAGCGUGGGGAGCGAACAGGAUUAGAUACCCUGGUAGUCCACGCCGUAAACGAUGAGUGCUAAGUGUUAGAGGGUUUCCGCCCUUUAGUGCUGCAGCAAACNCAUUAAGCACUCCGCCUGGGGAGUACGGUCGCAAGACUGAAACUCAAA
rnacentral:rRNA from 1 species